ACUGCUUGAACCCCUUAGACGCAGGUGUACUCCUGGGCCCAUAGUCAGGGGCUCAUACGUACUCCCAUAACGUAACUGUGUAGUUUGUGGUGUCCGUCCAGCUCCAAGCUGCUGUCAUGCUCAGCUGUAGGGGUUGGCUUGGGUAUAAUUUGAUGGAAUCUGUCAGGGUUCGUGGAGUCAUUGCCAUCUGAGUCAGCUCCCAGAACGCUCAGCCAGCGGGGAACAGUCGCCUCAGGCGGGCGUGAGAGGGGAAACAGUGGCAUCAGGUGGGAGUGAGAGGAGGAACUCAAGGCCAGGUUUCCGAAUGGCCUCACACAGUUUCCUUUCUGCCAGGAUUUUCAAAGGAUUAGAGUUC
rnacentral:lncRNA from 1 species